CCUACGGGGGGCAGCAGUGAGGAAUAUUGGUCAAUGGGCGCGAGCCUGAACCAGCCAAGUCGCGUGAGGGAGGACGGCCCUACGGGUUGUAAACCUCUUUUGCCGGGGAGCAACGGGCGUCACGUGUGGCGCCCCUUAGAGUACCCGGAGAAAAAGCAUCGGCUAACUCCGUGCCAGCAGCCGCGGUAAUACGGAGGAUGCGAGCGUUAUCCGGAUUUAUUGGGUUUAAAGGGUGCGUAGGCGGAUCGUUAAGUCAGUGGUCAAAUUGAGGGGCUCAACCCCUUCCCGCCAUUGAAACUGGCGUUCUGGAGUGGAAGAGAAGUAGGCGGAAUGCGUGGUGUAGCGGUGAAAUGCAUAGAUAUCACGCAGAACUCCGAUUGCGAAGGCAGCAUACCGGCGCUCAACUGACGCUCAUGCACGAAAGUGUGGGUAUCGAACAGGAUUAGAUACCCUGGUAGUC
rnacentral:rRNA from 1 species